GUAACAAGGUUUCCGUAGGUGAACCUGCGGAAGGAUCAUUACAGAGUUCAUGCCCGAAAGGGUAGGCCUCCCACCCUUGUGUAUUAUUACUUUGUUGCUUUGGCGAGCUGCUCUUCGGGGCCUUGUAUGCUCGCCAGAGAAUAUCAAAACUCUUUUUAUUAAUGUCGUCUGAGUACUAUAUAAUAGUUAAAACUUUCAACAACGGAUCUCUUGGUUCUGGCAUCGAUGAAGAACGCAGCGAAAUGCGAUAAGUAAUGUGAAUUGCAGAAUUCAGUGAAUCAUCGAAUCUUUGAACGCACAUUGCGCCCCUUGGUAUUCCGGGGGGCAUGCCUGUUCGAGCGUCAUUUCAACCCUCAAGCUCAGCUUGGUAUUGAGUCCAUGUCAGUAAUGGCAGGCUCUAAAAUCAGUGGCGGCGCCCUGGGUCCUGAACGUAGUAAUAUCUCUCGUUACAGGUUCUCGGUGUGCUUCUGCCAAAACCCAAAUUUUCUAUGGUUGACCUCGGAUCAGGUAGGGAUACCCGCUGAACUUAAGCAUAU
rnacentral:rRNA from 1 species